GACGAACGCUGGCGGCGUGCCUAAUACAUGCAAGUAGAACGCACAGUUUAUACCGUAGCUUGCUACACCAUAGACUGUGAGUUGCGAACGGGUGAGUAACGCGUAGGUAACCUGCCUGGUAGCGGGGGAUAACUAUUGGAAACGAUAGCUAAUACCGCAUAAUAUUGAUUAUUGCAUGAUAAUUAAUUGAAAGGUGCAAUUGCACCACUACCAGAUGGACCUGCGAUGUAUUAGCUAGUAGGUGAGGUAACGGCUCACCUAGGCGACGAUACAUAGCCGACCUGAGAGGGUGAUCGGCCACACUGGGACUGAGACACGGCCCAGACUCCUACGGGAGGCAGCAGUAGGGAAUCUUCGGCAAUGGACGAAAGUCUGACCGAGCAACGCCGCGUGAGUGAAGAAGGUUUUCGGAUCGUAAAGCUCUGUUGUAAGAGAAGAACGGGUGUGAGAGUGGAAAGUUCACACUGUGACGGUAUCUUACCAGAAAGGGACGGCUAACUACGUG
rnacentral:rRNA from 1 species